UACGUAGGGGGCGAGCGUUGUCCGAAGUUACUGGGCGUAAAGCGCGCGUAGGCGGUCAUUUAAGUUCGGGGGUGAAAGGUUCAGCGCUCAACGCGAACAGUGCCUUGAAUACUGGGUGACUUGAGUUCGGGAGAGGGCAGUGGAAUUCCUGGUGUAGCGGUGAAAUGCGUAGAUAUCAGGAGGAACACCGAUGGCGAAGGCAGCUGCCUGGCCUAGAACUGACGCUGAGGUGCGAAAGCGUGGGGAGCGAACAGG
rnacentral:rRNA from 1 species